UGGAGCCCUCAUCUCCACCGUCGCGGGAGAGCGGCGGCACCUGCGGGGCGCGAGGGGGCGUCUCUGGUUCACGGUCGGCGCUGCACGCCAGGUCCCAGGACGUGGAGGAAAACAGUCCCCGGGGGUCCCCCGUCCCCUGUGAUGACAGUACUGGCAUCGCUGCUCCCCCCCCGCUCUGUGCCUGGAGUCCUAGAGGCUGAAGUGUGUGCUCAGAGGGGAGGGCAAGAAGCCUGUCCUCCAUCAAGCCGGACUCCACACAAGUGACCGGACGCCCUCCGGCUGGUCUUUGAAGCGCCGCCAUUUCCAGCCUGCGCUCUGCCUGGACGGCUCUACGUAGUUAGCGGGUUGCACACGGUCUGGGCCCUAUGCUAGCGACCCCCUCUCCCAGCAAAGCAAGGCGGCAAUGCCCCGAGCUGCAUGACGAUUUACCAACUAGACGUGUACGCAGACUUUGUUUGAAAGCUUUUUGUAAAAAGUAAAAGUGGAAAGUGGUUUUGUUCUGAAGGUUUAGGUCUGGUGCAUUAUUUUAACUCCGGGGCUACCUUCUGUGUGAUCAUCUGAAGUCCGGCCGCUUCUGUGUCCGCUGUCUUGAGCUCUGAAGACUCACCAACUUUGUUUUGGAAAAUAUGGCUGGUUUUCAUUAAAAAUUGUUUUUUCUAUUAAUAA